UUGGAGGGUAAUAUAUAAUAACAAAUCCUUCCAUGAGAUGCUUGUUCUUGCUCAGUUCAUGAGGAGGAUCAGAGGUGCUGGCAAGACUAAUCAACCUGAGGCUACUGAGAAACAAGAAACAAAGGUGCAGCUAGAGUAGACAGGGAAUAGAAUUUUCACAGCAAUCACAAGGAUAGGAAGCCCAAUAGCCAGUCUGCUCAGAAUUUAUUUACAGGCUGCUGUGUAAUGCUUUCCUCUGAGAUUGAAACAUUCCAUCCUUCAGGGAAGGAAGCUCCUUAAGCAGGAAGGAAAACAACUUAAAACAGCUUCAGGAAGUCUCUGGGACUGACCAAAUUCACUAGGCUCCUCCUUGGCAGAGUAAGCAAUAAAAUCUGAGAGUCUUAAGAUGAAGUGGAGCUGCAAAGAUGACUCUCAGACAAGCCAAGGUGCAAAGGAAACACUGAAACCAGACCAGCUGCCUUAAAGAAGCAGAAACCUGCUGAGCUGCCUAAAAGAGGUUGAGACUAACUGAGGCACCUGGAAAGGACACCCUCUAUCCUGUUGAGCUGCCUGUAGGCUGUGCAGUGUGUUCCAGGUUCCGAGCUUUGUGACCUGUCACCAUGAAGGGGUGGGAUUUGAUGAUGCCACUGACUUUGGGUCAUAUCUGCUCCUGUAAGUCAUCUCACACCCAUAUUCCUGUAAAAUUUUGUCAUACAACACAGGCCUACUGUGAAAUGAUGGUCAGAAACAAAGAAAUUAAUGUACCUCCAGGGAGAUCACAAACAGUCACGGAAAUAUGGUAUUAUACAAGAGGCAAAAUCAGCCAUCAAUGGCUAUAAGCCUACAUAUACAAGACAGCUUAUUAAAUUUGAAGAAAUUUCAGAGAUGCAAUUUAUAGACUAAUCAGAAUGAAAUCAUAAA